UAGCUGUAUAGUUGUUUAGCCUUGAAGGGACGGGGCUGCAUGCGUGAUUUUUUUAUUAUUAUUUAUUUUUCUAAAAAAAAUAUUUUUUAAAUUAUAUCUUUUGGUACAUAGUGUGGGUCUGUGUGUAUAUUAAAAGCUGGCACUUUUGCAGCAUUAUAACGCCAAACCUGCAAAAGUUGGAGCAAAAAAAAAGAAAACAGCAAAUGUGAUCCAUCGCAUAUAGCUGCACACACACGCCCCUCCCCUUUCCUGCGCGCACACGCACACACACACACACACGCUGUUUGCGUCCCCAUCCACUCUCUCACACGCGUUGUCGUGCACGCGCACACUGUUGAGUCCGCCGCUUUUGCAGCGCGAGAUUUACGGCGACCUUUCUUGAACCCUCGCGAGCGACGAGCAAGCUGUUUAAGUUCUCCUCGUCUCUCCUCCAUAUUUUAUUGCCUUGUUGGCAGUGCGCGUUCACGAGGCCACGCUCCCUCGCGCCCCCCGAGCAAUUCAGAACUAUGAGGAUAAAAAUAUGACUUGGGCAGGAGUGACAAGCGUAGGCACGGGAAAGCAACUGGUGCUCAUGUAGACACGUUUCAAUUCGUUGUCAUUAUUUGCGAAAAUGAAAAUUCGAACGUGAUCACUGGAGCCUCAAGAACUUUUCCAUCACACAAAAAGCAAAGCUGGCACUCAAAAUGACGAGAAAUAUUAUUACUAUUGCGCUGUCAUAUUAAUAUAAAAUGUUUACUUAUGUGUAUAUUUGUACACUAUAGUAUUUAGCAUAAUAAAACCGAUUGUGCCACUUUACCUCCUUUUGAAUUGAUUUUCUGUCAUUUUUUUAAAAUUUCAUGUUUUCCAUAUUUUAAUUCCUCUCUAGUUCAAUCCCUAGAAUAAAAGCAAAGAUAAUUGUUUAUUUUCCCAUAAUUUCACCAUGCACCAAAUGUAACAAUUACAUGGUGUGUGUAAUAUUAUAUAACAAUCUUACCACGGGGUGUGCUGUGUGUAAUUUUAUUAUUUUGUUAUCUUGGCUCGGGAUUACCUCAUCGGGCCGUUUGUGUGGGGGGGUGCCUCAUUGCUUAUAACAUAAUCGCAUUCCAACUGAGCAUGCGCGCUAUGCUAAACUAUGACAAUAUCGCAGCGGUGCAAUAAUGUAGUGCACACCUCACGUGAGCGGGCAGGCCCACCGAUCCAUGCAUGCAUGCUGCUGGAAUUCAAUGAGACAAACAAGGACGCUUGGUUGAUCGUUUUUGGGAGGAAAAGUCAUCCAAAAAGUCCCUGGCCUUGCCGCUUCUUGGCAACACGCAUGACAAACGACGAGAACUUUCUGGUUCAUGGAGGAGGACUAACAGAACGGUGGGGCCAUUACUAUUUUGGAUUUUCUACGCCAUAUGUGGAACAGCCUACCGGAGAACCUCAGGGCAGCAGAUAAUGUUCUUGUUUUUAAAAACAACCUCAAGACCCACCUUUUUAAUUUAGCAUUUAACUAUCCAUCCAUCCAUUUUCUGAGCCGCUUAUCCCUCACAAGACGAGGUACACCCUGAAUUGGUUUCCAGCCAAUCGGAGUGCACAUAGAAACAAACAACCAUUCGCACACACAUUCACACCUACGGGCAAGUUAGAGUCUUCAGUUAACCUAGCAUGCAUGUUUUUGGGAUGUGGGAGGAAACCGGAGUGCCCGCAGAAAACCCACGCAGGCACGGGGAGAACAUGCAAACUCCACACAGGCGGGGCCGGGGAUUGAACCCCGGUCCUUAGAACUGUGAGGCAGACGCUCUAACCAGUCUUCUACCAUGAUGUCAGCAUUUAACUAGUAUUUAUUUAUUUUAUUAUCUUAGCUUUUAGUUUAUUUCCAGUCCCGCUUUAUUAUCUGUUGGAUUUUAUUCUCAUGGUGCUCUUACAUUUUGAAGUCUGUUAUUUAUUAUUUUAAAAGGAUUUUAGUCUAUAGAGUUUUAGGAGUCUGUGAUGUUAAUAACUUUACGUGCAGGAUUUUCUUGUUUUUUUGCACAGUUUACUACUCUCAGUGCUUGCUCACAGGGAGUCCUCUGUACCGGGAGCUGUGGCGGACCGUGGCCAUGGUCCUGCCUCACGGGGCUCACUGUGCGUUCAGGCAUUUUAUGUAUGAAAAGCACUGCAUAAAUACUUUUUAUUUUUCUAUUUGGAUGAUGGACUGUUUUAUUGAUGUCAUACA